rnacentral:misc_RNA from 1 species
AAUUCUCAACUCUCCUCAGAUUCCAUCUGUAGGGUGAGCUUGGACUUGGAGGUUUCUGCCGGCGUUUGCCGGCUCCUCUCGAAAUCAUUAGCUUUGAGUUGAUCUUGAUGGCUUGACCGGUGUGAUAAACAUCUACGCCGAUUCAUGCUGUCCUGAGCGACGACGUCGGAGACGCUCUGGCUUAUAACCGUCUUCACCGAAGGACAACACCCUGAAC